rnacentral:rRNA from 1 species
UACGUAGGGUGCGAGCGUUAAUCGGAAUACUGGGCGUAAAGCGUGCGCAGGCGGUUUUGUAAGCCAGAUGUGAAAUCCCCCGGGCUUAACCUGGGAAUGGCAUUUGGGACUGCAAGGCUUGAGUGCGGCAGAGGAGACUGGAAUUCCUGGUGUAGCAGUGAAAUGCGUAGAUAUCAGGAGGAACACCGAUGGCGAAGGCAGGUCUCUGGGCUGACACUGACGCUCAUGCACGAAAGCGUGGGGAGCAAACAGG